CCUUGCUCGGUUUUGUCUCGGGAUUGCCCGGACAUUUUCGCCUCUUUGUUUUACUGAAAGUGGAUUUAACUCGGAUUGAGCCUCAGAUCCAGCGGACUGUUAUGCUCUCACACAGCGACGUGAUGCAGAAUCAAUAAUGCAGAGCUAACGUUGCAAUACCUCGUGUCAAAACAAAGGUGGCAACCAGAUAGAGGACAGCAAAGAGAUGGCGGCAUUAGGGAAUCCCGAGAUGCUGACCAGGAAAAUCAAGUUGUGGGACAUCAAUGCCCACAUUACCUGUCGUCUGUGUGAGGGU